GUAGGUGGCAAGCGUUGUCCGGAAUUAUUGGGCGUAAAGCGCGCGCAGGCGGUUCUUUAAGUCUGAUGUGAAAGCCCACGGCUCAACCGUGGAGGGUCAUUGGAAACUGGAGAACUUGAGUACAGAAGAGGAAAGCGGAAUUCCACGUGUAGCGGUGAAAUGCGUAGAGAUGUGGAGGAACACCAGUGGCGAAGGCGGCUUUCUGGUCUGUAACUGACGCUGAGGCGCGAAAGCGUGGGGAGCAAACAGGAUUAGAUACCCUGGUAGUCCACGCCGUAAACGAUGAGCGCUAAGUGUUAGGGGGUUUUCCGCCCCCCUUAGUGCUGCAGCUAACGCAUUAAGCACUCCGCCUGGGAGUACGGCCGCAAGGCUG
rnacentral:rRNA from 1 species